AACCUCAUUGACUGGGAGGAAUUCCUUCUGAUCAAUGAGGUGUAACAACCUCAUUGACAGGAAGGAAUUCCUUCUGAUCAAUGAGGUG
rnacentral:miRNA from 1 species